rnacentral:rRNA from 1 species
UGCCAGCCGCCGCGGUAACACGGGGGGCGCAAGCGUUAUUCGGAAUUAUUGGGCGUAAAGGGCGCGUAGGCGGUCUUGUCAGUCAGGUGUGAAAGCCCGGGGCUCAACCCCGGACGUGCAUUUGAAACAGCAAGACUUGAGUACGGGAGAGGAGAGAGGAAUUCCUGGUGUAGAGGUGAAAUUCGUAGAUAUCAGGAGGAACGCCGGAGGCGAAAGCGACUAUCUGGGCCAUAACUGACGCUGAUGUGCGAAAGCUAGGGGAGCAAACGGGAUUAGAUA